UACGGGGGGGGCAAGCGUUGUUCGGAAUUACUGGGCGUAAAGGGCUUGUAGGUGGCCAACUAAGUCAGACGUGAAAUCCCUCGGCUUAACCGGGGAACUGCGUCUGAUACUGGAUGGCUUGAGUGUGGGAGAGGGAUGCGGAAUUCCAGGUGUUGCGGUGAAAUGCGUAGAUAUCUGGAGGAACACCGGUGGCGAAGGCGGCAUCCUGGACCAACACUGACGCUGAGGAGCGAAAGCCAGGGGAGCAAACGGG
rnacentral:rRNA from 1 species